UAUGUUUGAUCCUGGCUCAGRGCGAACGCUGGCGGCAGGCUUAACACAUGCAAGUCGAGCGGGCAUAGCAAUAUGUCAGCGGCAGACGGGUGAGUAACGCGUGGGAACGUACCUUUUGGUUCGGAACAACUGAGGGAAACUUCAGCUAAUACCGGAUAAGCCCUUACGGGGAAAGAUUUAUCGCCGAAAGAUCGGCCCGCGUCUGAUUAGCUAGUUGGUGAGGUAAUGGCUCACCAAGGCGACGAUCAGUAGCUGGUCUGAGAGGAUGAUCAGCCACAUUGGGACUGAGACACGGCCCAAACUCCUACGGGAGGCAGCAGUGGGGAAUAUUGGACAAUGGGCGCAAGCCUGAUCCAGCCAUGCCGCGUGAGUGAUGAAGGCCCUAGGGUUGUAAAGCUCUUUUGUGCGGGAAGAUAAUGACGKACCGCAG
rnacentral:rRNA from 1 species